rnacentral:rRNA from 1 species
CGCGUGAGAAUCUAGCUUCAGAAUGGGGACAACAGAGGGAAACCGCUGCUAAUACCCGAUGUGCCGAAAGGUGAAAGAUUUAUCGUCUGAAGAUGAGCUCGCGUCCGAUUAGCUAGUUGGUAGAGUAAGAGCCUACCAAGGCGACGAUCGGUAGCUGGUCUGAGAGGAUGACCAGCCACACUGGGACUGAGACACGGCCCAGACUCCUACGGGAGGCAGCAGUGGGGAAUUUUCCGCAAUGGGCGAAAGCCUGACGGAGCAAGACCGCGUGAGGGAGGAAGGCUCUUGGGUUGUAAACCUCUUUUCUCUGGGAAGAAGAUCUGACGGUACCAGAGGAAUCAGCAUCGGCUAACUCCGUGCCAGCAGCCGCGGUAAUACGGAGGAUGCAAGCGUUAUCCGGAAUUAUUGGGCGUAAAGCGUCCGUAGGUGGCAAUUCAAGUCUGCCGUUAAAACCAGUGGCUUAACUACUGAGGGGCGGUGGAAACUGAAUAGCUAGAGUGUGGUAGGGGUAGAGGGAAUUCCCAGUGUAGCGGUGAAAUGCGUAGAGAUUGGGAAGAACACCGGUGGCGAAAGCGCUCUGCUGGACCACAACUGACACUCACAGGACGAAAGCUAGGGGAGCGAAAGGGAUUA